CCUCUCUAGACUGUUUCAGCUUUGAUUCACUUGUCAAUCCGGAGUGUUUACAGCGCCAUUGGGAGCAUCAUGUAAAUGUUUUGUGGUCUUGUUAUUGUGGUUUACUGAUUUGCCAACUCAAGCAACGUUUUGAUUUGCUGAUAGAGCAAAAUGUGAAGAGCAGAGUUUGUCACAAGUCAUCCAAAAAAGAAAAAAAAAAAGAAAUCAGUCGUCCUCAAGGUAUUCAGAAAGAGCAAAGAUUUACAUAAAUUCAAAGGUUCAGUGGUUACUUUAUUUGUACCCUCGGGUAAAUUUUGUUUGCAGUGAAUCACAUGUAUGACAGUAGACGAACAAACAGCACAGUACAUGCAACAGGACAUACAUAUAAAGUGACAGCAGUGCUCAGGAAUAAGAGAUUAAAAUGAAUCGAAUAAGACCAAAUAAAACUCAAUGAAACCAAAUAAAAACCAACAGCUCUCAAGGUUUCUUCCCCGUGUUAAUGUGCUCGAUGUCUGAUGGAAUAAAACCAUUUUUGUACCGCUUGGUUUUACAGGCUGGUACUUUCAUAACAAAAUAAAAAACAAACAAACAAACAAACAAACAAACAAAAAAGAAGUUGACAUCGCCUGAAUCUUUUCUUUGCAUGCUGAAUGCAUGAGCAAAAUCUCACAGGGACCCUUUAGUCGUCAAGACAACAGGUUGGACCUGAGGUUUAAUUCUGUACACACAGAGAAGUUCAGUCCAUCUAUCCAUCACAUCAGCUCUACCAUGUCGAUCUAAAAUGACUCACAGGUUGAGCCUGACUCGGCUGUCGCUCCUCCUCUCUGACAGUAGCAUGAAGUGGCAAACAGGGGUCUGCAAUCAUGUGUGAAGCGUUCAUGUUUUUUCUUACCAAGCUUUUAGUUUUGUGCAUCUGUCAAACCAGAAGAGGGCAACAGACGCUAACAGGUUGUGCUCGUCGUGGAGUGGAGGAGAAGAUGAGAGUUGGUGUCGAGAAAGGAGUUUCUGCGAACCACUGUUGGCAUGGUACAUAAUAAUUACUCCAAUAACUCAUGAGCAAAGUUAGUUAUCUGUUUCAAGUGUGCACCGUCUAUUCUUCAGUCUCCCACCAUUCAUCCUCCUCUUCCUCCCCAGCUUCAUCCGUUCUCCCCAUUAAUUCCUCUUACACCCCUGUAUUACCCUUUUCUUCACACCUCUCCGUCACUAGCUUUCUAUCUCCCCACCUUCAACCACAUUCGCCUCCUUCCCUCCUCUGAUUCAGCAGUGGCCCUUUGGCUGUGUUGCAGGAAGACGAGUUUAUCACCAUCAUUAUCACCAUGUUAAUUCCAGAGCCUUAUCUUCUUAAAUAAAGUGUGUGCUUUUGUCUCUUUGUGCUGACAUCCUCAGGCUCCACUUGAAUGUAGCUUAUUUCGCUCUUGCUCCAUUUAGCAUCAAAAUGAACCGUUUUUUUGGGGGGGGGACUAGCACUAGCGUAGCUUGCAUCAGCUCGGUGCAAGCUAAUAGGGGUAUCAGCAGUUGCCUGCAUCUGAGAACAUCAAAGCGAGCAAUUCCCUCUGAACACAGAAUCUGAGUGCACACAGCGGGCACGCAUGCACAAACACACGCUCGGGCUCACACGUACACACAUGCAUACGCAGACUUGUGCACAGACGGGUGCAUUCAGCGGGCAUGAGGGAAGGGGUGGCUUGUUUUCACACUGCAUUUCCAUAUAUGUUAAUAACAUUCUUGUUAUUGUGCAGAAACAGCCGGCAGGGUGAUGAAGUGAUGAGCUGUCCUGGCUGCGAGGAAGAGGACAGACAGGCUGUGGAAACAGUCUGUGGGAGUUUUUCCUUUUUUUUUUUUCAAGGUGUUAUUGCUCCAAAACACACAGGCUAACAGUACACAAACAGAGAACACACAUGCGCACUCACAUACACACACAAUUGAUUUCCCGCUAUUGUUCGUGUUCGUGCGGAUAUGAAUGAUGUGUGUGAUGUGGGGCAUGUUGAGGCGAAUCAUUGAUGUUUCUGCUAACACCACAUGAUUACCCGAGAACGGCUUCAUUUGAUGGCUCUGCUGAAAAACCUGCAUGAGAACUGGGUCAUGAAAUUUCAGACGUUCAAACAAUCAUACUCCAAAGCUGGAUGAAUGCCUUUUUUUUAUUUUUAUUUGGAGCAAGCACAGCUUUUGACCGGCUAACUGAUCUACUAUCAGCUGUGACUGGAGUAAUCGCUGCUCCUUUAUCUGCACACCGCCAUGACAAACCAAACACACUGGGGCUAUCAAAGCGCUGUAAUCAUGUUUGGUUAGGAUGCUUUUUUUUUGCCCAUUUGUUGUAUAAUUUGAUUUUCUCGGUGAGUGGCCGCUGAGUGCUUCUCAUUAUCAUCUGAAUGAUUCAUAAUGAAUUAUGUUUGUAAUUUCUUUUGUGUUAUCGAGUCUCUUUCAUGUCAUGAAACAAAUGCAGAGGCUAAUAUCUUUUACAGAUAUUGUAAUGCCAGCACUGACCCCCAUCUCCUCAUUAUUCUCACACUUCACCAAGUCAGUUCCAGUCGGGUGGAGCUGGUGCGGCUGGUAGGGAGGAAGAAAGCAGCCUUAAAAGAGUCUAAUCCUCAUCUUUGUGAGACAUUUUUCAUCUUUUGAUAUUUUAUGCUGUAAUAAGUAACACUGUGCAUUUUGUGCGCAAGGAGACACUGAAAAAUUCAAGUACAAAUUGCCAAGUGCCGCAAGUGAGAGAGUAGCUAUUAGUCUUUUUUAUUCAAUCAUUAACUUCAUCGUUUUUUUCCUGCAGGGGCAGCUGAAGUUCACCUUAGACUGACGAAACGUACAGCCUCCACCUUACUGCCCUCGUGUCUUCACCCUCUGUCUCGUCCAAAUUUAGCCCUCUCCUUCCACUAUAGCCUGCUGCGCCCUUCUAUCAAUUAUUGAGACAGAAAUGUGAGAAUUCAUGGACUCUCAGGAAGUAUGACGCUUGCUGUCGAUUGCAGUGUUUGUUUUUUCUGUUUUUCCAGCUCACUUCAUUCUUGCUGCAAUGAAUAUCUGACUGUGCUGGUGAAGACUGAUGUAAUGUGUGGGGUUAUUGUCGUCAUACAUAUUAAAAGAUAACUGAGUUUGUACCGGUCAAGUUUGUGCUGGACUUUGCUGUAUUUUUGCUCCAGGAUUUCAGUGAAUACUCUAUUUAGGCUGAUGGCUGAGGUGUGUCGAAAUCAUGUAAAAAAGUCAAGUCAAAAAAGUCAAGGUCAAAAGUCAAAUUGUAUACAAUAUACAUAUUAGGGAAUCCAUUAGGUAGUGGCUCUUUUUAUGGCCGUGGUUAAGAGAGACAAAUGAAAUGAAGACAUGUACUUGUUUUAUAGAAAUAGUGUGAUGUUAUUGUCAGAGUUUCUCCAAUGCUGGACCUCCAAAGGGAGAGUGAUUGAAGUAUGUGGCCCCCUCUGGAGCCCAGGGGCCUCAUUUAUCAACCGUGCGUAAAAAAGAUUCUAAAUUCUGGCGUAGGAAUGGAAUCUUGAGUGUGCGUAAGUACAAAAAAAUCUGUAUUUAUCAAACAUUCGUACACUGGUCGUACGCACACACUGUAAUCGGUGAUAAUAAAUCCCACCUGAUCUUUACUACCAUUCUUGUGCAUGGUCAGGGUCAUUUGCAUUCAGACCAUAUAUGGUAUCGACAAUCCCUUUAAAAAUGCGUGAAUGAAUUUUUUCCCCCUCGACGAAAUCAUGGAGGUGUACAUUCAUAGAGCUGUUCUGCAGAAUGAAGGAGUCGUGUAUAACAGAUACAAAUGUGCAUCGCAGAUUAUUUGUGCAUUGAUUGAAUGAAAUCCUUUCCUGUUGACAAAACUGAAUUCAUUGUGUACAAUGUGGGUGCAUUCUACGGCUCCACUUACCUUUGGGAAUCCGGCGAUGGCGUGAAAUCCUCGUUUUAUUUCGGCUUGUUGGUGAUGUGCGUUUGGGAACUGGAUGUAAAUUGAGGCCAGAGAAAUUAUUGCAUCCAACUCUGCCGGCAUGAUUCUGCUUAGCGUUGGCUGCGAAAUGCCGUAUAUGUCUCCAAUCUCACGCUGAAAUGGUCCGGUGGCCAAAAAUCCCAGAGUGGACAGGAGCUGGAUGUGCACUGGGAUGGCGUUUGUGCGUUUUGUCUCUCACUCCACCACGGGUUGUAAAUCACGGCAUAGAUCCAUUAAAACAUUUUGGGGAAGCGGUACCUGCUGAGAGUCCACUCUGUGUUCUCACUGAACAGGUCAGCACGAUCUUUAAAAACACACUCGGUUCUCCAAGUCCUCCAAUAGUGAAUAAGCCAUGGUACUUGUAUUUGUACCUGUAAGACUUCUUCUGAGGUCGUCCUAUCGCGGCUGAUUUUUAUAGCUUGUCACACCAAUCAUUCAAAAAUACAGCUAAAUAACUAACUAAUAAAUUUUUAUUGAUUAGAGCAGGGGUGGACAACCAUAAGUCUCUGCUCUCUGCUUGGAGGUGAGGUAAUCAGUGAAAUCACCUGGUGGAGUUUUGGGUUGGAAACAAAACCUGCAUCCCCUCGGCUCUCCAUGGCACACGGUUGUCUACCCCUGAAUUAGAGUAAACGGGGAACAUGUGUGAAGUGUGAGAUUGCUGAACGCUAUGACUCCUUUAAUGGGUUCUAUUUGUAGUUUCACCGUUCUACCACUAGAGUUUGUGUGAAAGCAUGGUCAGAGUUGUGCUUAAAUUCACGCAUGUUCCUAAGCACAAGUACAGGUUGAUAAAUUCCAGACUUUACGUGGGAAUGUUCGUCCACACUCAUUGCGCACGCAUCUGUACGUAUGCACGGUUGAUAAAUGAGGCCCCAGGAGGUGACAGAAUUAUUGACUGAUGAGACGAUAGAGCUCGACAAAAUUGUGAAGACUUUGUGUUGACAGCAUGAAAACCAUGAAUAACCUGGAGGAAGAGAAAAACAAAAAGACAGUAAUACAGCACAGUUAAGUCAGAGAUCAGUCAGGUGGUUCAAUGGGACUUCUGCCCUUGACUCAGUUUAUGUGCACCGGCUAGAAUAUAACUAUAGUGUGGUUAACAGGGAUGAGAAGAUAAGAUGUAGAUAGGUGAAGUGAACUACUGAAAGGUCAAAGGUUACAUGUCUGUAUUCAGGAUAGAGCUGAGCUUGAGGAAAAAGCCAAGGGAUAAUCUCCUAAUUUCUAUGAAGUAAGAAUGUACUCCUCUAUUGAAUGUUGAGCUGUUUGGGGGCCUGGUGAAGUUUUGCUGUAUGUAGUUUUCUAUAUGAUUGGGAGAAGACCCUUAACAAGCUGGAGGGAGCAGACUGCACUCCAGCUGACCUGGAAACGCCUCAGGAUCCCUCAGGAGGAGCUGGAGGCUGUGACUGGAGAGAGGUCUGGACUACACUGAUGAGGUUGUAUACAUAAUGGAUGGAUGGAUGGAUGAUGUGCCAAUACAACAGCGACACAUCAUCAUCAUUUCAUUAAUUUUUCAAACAUUUAAAAACUAAUUUCACAGCACUCCCAGAGGGCUGAAAGAGGACAACUAAAACCCUGGAGUGCCGUUAAAUCACCUGAGCUACCAGUCUCCAUAUAACAGAGAUAAACUGAGCUGAGAUGCCUGUGGAGGGACUUCACGGUGCCACCAUGAUACACCUUUAAUAGGUUUCAGCCAACAGCAGAGCAGAACUGAUGCAGCUAGGGUGGCCAUACAGUCCGGAAUUUAAAUGCCUUAAAUAGCCGGACGGUUAUUUGUCCCCCAAAUUGGCAGGAAACAGACCACAGAAAGUCAAAACAACCUGUUGUGAGCAUGUUGUUUCCUCUAUACUGAGCUCAGCUGACCGGGGCUGCACUCUGCUGCUGCUACACUCCAAAUACUCGACGAAGCAGAUAUGCAAUGCUGACGGAACGCGUAAUACGGAUCCUGUAUGUCUUAGUCUUUAGUCAAUUAAAAAGUAGAAAACUACACUGCACUGAAAAUACCAGGCUGGCCUCAAACCAAAAGAAGAGCUGUGAAACCAGAACUUGGAGUUGAAGGACGCUUUAAAGCCCAGCAGAUGUGGAUGAUAAUUCUCUAAGGAUUCAUCAUAAUAAGCAAUCCUUUUCCCUUCACAGGCUGAUUAGAAACAUGGUGGAGGAAGAUCUGUGCAGCUUUUAUUUUAGCUUUUUAUUUGUGAAUACCGCAGCACUGCCCUUCCAAAAGUUUGCCAAGGUCUUUGAAGAGCGGAGAUCUUCACAUCUUCUCCAUGUUUCUCCUUCAUGACACGAGCACAGCCCAAACAGCUCAGCGGGGUUCUCUCUUUUUUUAAACUGAUUUAAAAAUUGGGCUAGUAUCUCUGGGACCGUCAGGAGUUUAUUCUCUGUGUUAGGGAUUCUGCUGCUUCUGUUUUAUUGAUUACCUACACUGACUCCUCUUCUUUACAGCUCAAUUUAAGGCCCAUACUGUUGAAGCUGCAUGAAUAAUGCAGCCGAUAGAUAGAUAGAUAGAUAGAUAGAUAGAUAGAUAGAUAGAUAGAUAGAUAGAUAGAUAGAUAGAUAGAUAGAUAGAUAGAUAGAUAGAUAGAUAGAUAGAUAGACUUGUAAAUUAUCAUCUGAAGAAAAAACAACCUCAGACUUAAAUUUAAUAAUUAAAAUUCUUUUUCAGCUUUAGUAAUAUGAGGCAAAAACUUGACGUCAAAUCCUUGACGUCAAAUGAAAUAACUGAAUGAUUCACUUUGAAACUGACCCUGUCUCCUGCUCUGAAACUGACGCACAAACACAUGGCGUGUAUUUGGAGAGAGAUCGUGUCCAGCAGCAGAGUCUGAUUCAGCUCUUUCUGUCAAUAUAACGACUUCAUGCAACUCAUCCUGAACAAACACAUGAAUAAUUGGACCCACGCAGCCUUAAAUCUGUUACCAUAUGGCAAACAUUUACUCUGCCAUUACUAUGCAUUUGUUGGCUUACAUAAGAUUAUUUGGUAAACACUUAUGCUGACACUUAGCGCUGACACAAUGCUGCUGCUGUGGAGAACAACAGAUUCAACUUCUUGUUUUCUUCCCUCUCUCCCCGAAAUGAAAAAGAAAACAUGACCCGAGCCGAUC